CAAAAAAACUUAAAAGGCCAAAUGAAAUAGUGAAAACCUAGUCUUCAUCUUCACCAACUGUCUGUUGCAGGCUUCAUCUUCACUAUUGAAGUAUCGAAGACUCGAAAUCUCCAAGACGAACUGACAAACGAAGUCACCUCGCAAAGCCGCAACAGCUUCCUCUUCUCCUUCUGUCUCUUCUCGGCUUUUCCUCCAGCGCGAUUUGCUUCUCAUCUCUCUUCUUUUGCCGUCCUAUGUCACUGCUUCUUAUCUCUCGUGGACGAAAUCCAUUUUGAGGACGAUUCUCGCCUGCCCACGAAGCAAACCCGCUCUCUCGAAGCUCCUCUCUCCCUUCAUAUCUCCCUCGAAGGCUGCUGCAGUCCGUGCUCCCUUCAACAAGACCCAGUUUAGAUUUUUAUUGUACUUUUUGGACACAUACUAUCUAAUAUUUAUUACUAUUUUAUUUUAUUUUA